AUUGAACGCUGGCGGCAGGCCUAACACAUGCAAGUCGAGCGAGAGGCGGACGGGUGAGUAAUGUAUGGGGACUGCCCGAUAGAGGGGGCGAAAUACUGGAAACGGGAUCUAAUACAGCAUACUAUCGGAUAACUCAAAGGGGCUUAGCUAGUUGGGGAGGUAAUGUCUCACCAAGGCGACGAUCCCUAGCUGGUAUGAGAGGAUGAUCAGCCACACUGGUACUGAGACACGGCCCAGACUCCUACGGAGGCAGCAGUGGGGAAUAUUGCAAAAUGGGCGCAAGCCUGAUACAGCCAUGCCGAGUGUAUGAAGAAGGCCCUGGGGUUGUAAAGUACUUUCAGUCGGGAGGCGUUACCGACAGAAGAAGCACCGGCUAACUCCGUGCCAGCAGCCGCGGUAAUUC
rnacentral:rRNA from 1 species